GACAGAGGGUGCAAACGUUGCUCGGAAUCACUGGGCGUAAAGGGCGUGUAGGCGGGACGGUAAGUCGGGCGUGAAAUCCCUAGGCUCAACCUAGGAACUGCACUCGAAACUACCAUUCUUGAGUGUCGGAGAGGAAAGCGGAAUUCCUGGUGUAGAGGUGAAAUUCGUAGAUAUCAGGAGGAACACCAGUGGCGAAGGCGGCUUUCUGGACGAUAACUGACGCUGAGACGCGAAAGCGUGGGUAGCAAACAGG
rnacentral:rRNA from 1 species